UGGUAUUUAUACCAUCAACUUGACCGAAAUCCUUCGAAUUUGAACAUGGAUCAUUCUUUUACUCUUAUUAUAGUCAGGAUUAAUAAUUCACGACAGAACUCUGAAUUUAUCGAAAGGCUGGCUUCAAGGACUAUCGAACGUAAGACGGGCAAACGAUAUUAUUAUAUCUUACCAAGAUAAAAGUCUCACUUUGGAUGCUACUUUAGCGUUUGACGUUCUUGACGCCAAUUACGAGUAUCUUAUUAAAGACUUGUUGAUCACGAAGAAUGGAGAAGUUCAUGGUCGUCUCAGGGAUACGGAGAUGCGAAUAAUCAUUGCAUUCGAUAUGAACAACUAUAAAGUUUUCCUCACUAUGGCCAACAUCGUUAAAAUCGA